GUGGAUUAGAUACCCCGGUAGUCCACGCCCUAAACGAUGCGAACUGGAUGUUGGUCUCAACUCGGAGAUCAGUGUCGAAGCUAACGCGUUAAGUUCGCCGCCUGGGGAGUACGGUCGCAAGACUGAAACUCAAAGGAAUUGACGGGGGCCCGCACAAGCGGUGGAGUAUGUGGUUUAAUUCGAUGCAACGCGAAGAACCUUACCUGGCCUUGACAUGUCCGGAAUCCUGCAGAGAUGCGGGAGUGCCUUCGGGAAUCGGAACACAGGUGCUGCACGGCCGUCGACAACU
rnacentral:rRNA from 1 species